UAGCAUAUCAAUAAGCGGAGGAAAAGAAACUAACAAGGAUUCCCUUUAGUAACUGCGAGUGAAGAGGGAAAAGCUCAAAUUUAAAAUCUGGCAGUGUUUCACUGUCCGAGUUGUAACCUAGAGAAGUGUAACCUGUGCUGGACCGUGUACAAGUCUCCUGGAAUGGAGCAUCACAGAGGGUGAGAAUCCCGUCUUUGACAUGGACUACCAGUGCAUUGCGGUUGCGCUCUCAACGAGUCGAGUUGUUUGGGAAUGCAGCUCUAAAUGGGUGGUAAAUUCCAUCUAAAGCUAAAUAUUGGCGAGAGACCGAUAGCGAACAAGUACCGUGAGGGAAAGAUGAAAAGAACUUUGGAAAGAGAGUUAAACAGUAUGUGAAAUUGUUGAAAGGGAAACGUUUGAAGUCAGUCGCGUUGGUUGGGGAUCAGCCUGACAUUGUUGGGUGUAUUUCCUGGUCGACGGGCCAACAUCAGUUUUGACUGCCAGAAAAAGGCCAAAGGAAUGUGGCACCUUUGGGUGUGUUAUAGCCCUUGGUCGUAUAUGGUGGUUGGGACUGAGGAAAGCAGCGUGCCGAAAGGCCGGGUUUCGACCACGUUCACGCUGAGGAUGUUGGCAUAAUGGCUUUAAGCGACCCGUCUUGAAACACGGACCAAGGAGUCUAACAUGCAUGCGAGUGUUUGGGUGGAAAACCCUUACGCGUAAUGAAAGUGAAAGUUGAGAUCCCUGUCGCGGGGAGCAUCGACGCCCGGACCAGAACUUUUGGGACGGAUCUGCGGUAGAGCACGUAUGUUGGGACCCGAAAGAUGGUGAACUAUGCCUGAAUAGGGUGAAGCCAGAGGAAACUCUGGUGGAGGCUCGUAGCGAUUCUGACGUGCAAAUCGAUCGUCAAAUUUGGGUAUAGGGGCGAAAGACUAAUCGAACCAUC
rnacentral:rRNA from 1 species